rnacentral:rRNA from 1 species
CAGUCGAACGAAGCGAUCGAGAGGAAGUUUUCGGAUGGAAUCCGGAUUGACUGUGUGGCGGACGGGUGAGUAACGCGUGGGUAACCUGCCUCAUACAGGGGGAUAACAGUUAGAAAUGACUGCUAAUACCGCAUAAGCGCACAGGGACACAUGUUCCGGUGUGAAAAACUCCGGUGGUAUGAGAUGGACCCGCGUCUGAUUAGCUGGUUGGCGGGGUAACGGCCCACCAAGGCGACGAUCAGUAGCCGACCUGAGAGGGUGACCGGCCACAUUGGGACUGAGACACGGCCCAAACUCCUACGGGAGGCAGCGGUGGGGAAUAUUGCACAAUGGGGGAAACCCUGAUGCAGCAACGCCGCGUGAGUGAAGAAGUAUUUCGGUAUGUAAAGCUCUAUCAGCAGGGAAGAAGAUGACGGUACCUGAGUAAGAAGCCCCGGCUAACUACGUGCCAGCAGCCGCGGUAAUACGUAGGGGGCAAGCGUUAUCCGGAUUUACUGGGUGUAAGGGGAGCGUAGACGGUGAGACAAGUCUGAAGUGAAAGCCCGGGGCUCAACCCCGGGACUGCUUUGGAAACUGCCUGACUGGAGUGCUGGAGAGGCAAGCGGAAUUCCUAGUGUAGCGGUGAAAUGCGUAGAUAUUAGGAAGAACACCAGUGGCGAAGGCGGCUUGCUGGACAGUAACUGACGUUGAGGCUCGAAAGCGUGGGGAGCAAACAGGAUUAGAUACCCUGGUAGUCCACGCCGUANACGAUGAAUGCUAGGUGUUGGGGANCAAAGCUUCUCGGUGCCGCCGCAAACGCAAUAAGCAUUCCACCUGGGGAGUACGUUCGCAAGAAUGAAACUCAA